UUAACCACAUCAUGAAUAACUGGUUCAAUGUUGACGUCCAAGAACCUACUGCAUCCCAAGUGUUCCGUCUCUGUGGGAGGUAAGACAUGGUCCCAACCCUCCAGCUUCACGGUCUGAUGGAAGAUGGAGACAACUAAGCCACAGAGCUUGUGCUACAACCGUGACAACUGACGUUCCAUGGGGACAGGAAACAUCACUGAGAGCUGCUGUUGGAACAGGGUGUGUCAUCUGCUGGGAGUAUGACACCAAGGAUUCCCAGGCACGCAAGACCACCGGAUCUCCCUUGCAGUCAACUCAGUAGGAUUGUGGCCAAUGGGUGCUCAUCAUGGCCUCUGACCUAUUGCCACACUUUCUCUUCCCCUUCCACAAUGACUUCGGAAGCUCCUUGGUUAAGACGACAGUCACAAAAUGGAAGGGGCCAGGUCCUCACGGAGCUGUUUGUUGAGAAGAUACACUCCCAACCACCACAUACCUAGCAUCAAAGCAGAAAUAACUGUAAAGCUACCAAGGAUGGAAGGAUUUUGGCAGCAGAAUCUGGAGUUUACCACUUAGACUAACACCAGCCAUAACCUCUGGCUAACCCAGUUCCCAUCAUCACUGGCACUGCUGUUACUGACAUGGAUAUUGUUAGUACAGUAGCUGUUCAAAUAAUCUUAGUGAUAGUGUUACCGGGUAAAGACCCAAAGACCACUCAGCACGACCUGGAGAGAAACAGUUCCCACAGAGCAGCCCCGAAUGCAUACUGCAGCGAGCUUUUAAAGACAAAGAACACAGGAAAACUACAUCCUGGUUGGCAGGUCCUGUCUGAGUAUUUGGAAUCUACCGAUGCAGAAGCGAUGGAUUUGGAAGGCCCUGUACUGAAGAACUCCAUGAAAGGAGCCAGAGGAGACUCUUGGAAUCCUGGAGUCACUUCCUGACCCUGCUGGAAUAGGGACCUGUCACCAAUGCCUGUGUCUGGAGGUGGAAGCUUCCAGUGCUCCACCUGAGGAACGUGAACCAUGACUUCUAAGAUGUAUGGGCUGGAAGAAUGCGGAGACCACUCAGUGGAGACUGACCUGACCAGGGAGCUCCUCCUGCCAUUGUUCAAGGAAGCCUUUACUGGUGAAUAAACUAACAUCCUGAAAGGGAUGGUGCCAGCCUAGCCCUUUCCUUCCCUCCCUCUGGGGUCUCUGAUGAUGGCCAUCCCCCACCUGGAGACUGAACUGUAUCCAGCCACUCCUCAUCACUCCAGCAUCUCUCAGUGACCACCUGCAACGGUUGUUCGGGUUCCUGAAGACCUCAUUGAUUGCCUGUCCAUCACUCUCUGCCGGUUCUCACAGUCAGGCUUAGAGUCUUCUCUCAAUGUUGGAGCCUCUAUCAGCUCAAACAUCUGACCUUGAAAGAUGCCCUUUUAACUGAAAAAAAAAAAAAACUCCAUAUCUACAGAG